GAUACACAAUAUUGCCAUUUUGCAAACUGUAAUAUAUUAAUAUAUUUAGCCAUUUUUCACAAUAGCAGCUAACAUCAAGAAAAAAGCAAAAGCAAAGCUCCAGCCAGGUGCAUGCUACUUGAUAAAAGAACACAGAACCACUUAUAAUCAUGCCAAUGGGAUGGAGCCUGGGUCUGAUCCAGUGGCUAAUUUGCAGGAAAUGAAGAGGUCAAAGGGCCAUGUUGAGCUGUACUAUGAGGAUGCAAUUGACAAAAUCCAGAACUUUGAGAAACUCUCCAGGUCAAACAGCCUCAAUUCUUCAACAGAUAAACUGCAAGGGAAAGAAAGAGAUAUAAAGGGAAACUCUGGAUUAUAAGAAGCUUACAAGACAUAUCAAAAAAUUUUUUUUAAUGGGCAAAACUAUACUGUCUAGGGAUGCACACUUGGAUGCUUAAACCAUUAAGAAAUGCAAGGAUAUAAUUACUAUAAAAGUCAGAGAAGAAAACUGAGGCUCAGAAAGGUUUUCAUGGCCACGCAGAAUGUGAUGGAGCAGCCUGGUUUUGAACCUGGGCAGCCUGGCUCCCAGUGGCUCUCACCCACUGACUCAACAUUCAGAAAACGAAGAAAAACCCACUUCACUCAGUCAUUUCUGACUUUGUGACCCCAGGGACUGCAGCACACCAGGCUUCCCUGUCCUUCACCAUCUCUCAGAGCUUGUUCAAAUUCAUGUUAAGUGAGUCGGUGAUGUCAUCCAACCAUCUCAUCUUCUGUCACCCCCUUCUCCUCCUGCCUUCAGUCUUUCCCCGCAUCAGUCUUUUCCAAUGAGUCGGCUCUUGGCAUCAGGCGGCCAAAGUAUUAUUGGAGCUUCAGCUUCAGCAUCAGUCCUUCCAACGAAUAUUCAGGAUUGAUUUCCUUUAGGAUGGACUGGUUUACCAUGCAAGUUUCUGUAAAACAAGAUGCUGUUUGUCAUUGCACUUCAACAGUGAAUCAGAGAGGCACACCGGUGUAUCCCUUCUGCCUUCCUUCUGACGCACUGCCGGGGGCUAUCGUGGACAGGACUGGAGUUGGACUUGGGACCCAUUGGUCUCAUGUGGAUUCUGGUACUUUCUUAUGUGAUCCUGGAGCAAAAGAAAAGCAAAGCAUUGCCCUUUGGAAUUAAGACUCCAAGCUUGGAUAAAGAAUGUUCUUUGCAGUAACUGAGGUGCUAUGACAAAAGGUAGACACUUGGUGGCGCUCCAGUCAAUCUGCAUUAGAGAAAAUAACAAGAGGAUGAUAGUAAUGCCGAUCUUCAAAUUAACAGUGGCUUUGGAGAAGGAAAUGGCAACCCACUCCAGUACUUCUUGCUUUGAAAAUCCCAUGGACGGAGGAGCUUGGUGCAGGCUACUAUCCAUGGGGUCACAAAGAGUCGGGCACGACUGAGCGACUUCACUUCACUUCACUUCACUUCUAUUUACUGAGUUCUUGCUAUGAGCUCCUAGAAUGUGCUAACAGACUCACAAACUUUAUCUCAUUUUGUCAUUCCAUUAUCUCAUUAUCUCAUUCCAAGCACCUCAUUAGUUUGAUGCUAUUACCGAAGAUUUUAAAGAUAGGGUGUAUUGCUGUUGAGAAUUUUAAAAAUGUUUUAAUGGAGUCACAAUUCACCUACUUUGUAAAAUGUACAAGCCCUGAGUGUACAGCCUGGUGAAUUGUUCUAAGUGUACAUACACAGAUACCCGCACCCAGAUGAGGGUAUGAAACUGCUAUAACAACCUUUCCACUCACCCCCCACCCAAGGCAACCACUAUCCUGACUGCUAUCACCAUUUAUUCAUUUUGGGCGCUUUUGAACUUCAUAUAAAUCAAAUUAUACAUAUAUAAUGUUUAGAGUUGCCAGGUCUAUCACAUAAAAGGCCAGGAUGCCAAUUAAAUUUGAAUUUCCUAUGAGACACUGUUCUUAAUUUGCUAAGCCGUGUCUGGUUCUUUGUGAUCCCAUAGACUGCAGCACACCAGGCUUCCCUGUCCUUCACUAUCUCCCAGAGUUUGCUCACACUCAUGUCUAUUGAGGCAGAGAUGCCAUCCAACCAUCCCAUACUCUGUCGCCCCUUCUCCUCUUGCCCUGAAUUUUUCUCAGCAUCAGGGCCUUUUCCAAUGAGUCGGCUCUUCGCAUCAGGUGGCCAAAUAUUAGAGCUUCAACUUCAGCAUCAGUCCUUCCAGUGAAUAUUCAGGAUUGAUCUCCUUUAGAAUCGACUGGUUUAAUCUCCUUGUUGUCCAAGAGACUUUUAAGAGUCUUCUCCAGCAACAUAAUUUGAAAGAAUCAAUUCUUUGGGACUCAAUCUUCUUUAUGGUCCAACUCUCACAUCCAUACAUGACUACUGAAAAAACCAUAGCUUUGAUUAUACCGACCUCGUUGGCAAAGUGAUGUCUCUGCUUUUUAAUAUGCUGUCUACGUUUGUCAUAGCUUUUCUUCCAAGGAGCAGCGUCUUUUAAUUUCAUGGCUGCAGUCACCAUCCAAAGUGAUUUUGGUGCCCAAGAAAAUAAAAUCUGCCACUGUUUCCACUUUUUCCCCAUCUAUUUUCCAUGAAGUAAUGGGACCAGAUGCCAUGAUCUUAGUUUUUUGAUUGUUGAUUUCUAAGCCAACUUUUCACUCUCCUCUUUCACUAUCCUCACCAAGAUGCUCUUUAGUUCCUCUUCACUUUCUGCCAUUAGAGUGAUAUCAUCUGCAUAUCUGAGGUUGUUGAUUUUACCCUGGCGAUCUUCAUUCCAGCUUGUAAUGCAUCCAGGCCAGCAUUUCGCUUAAUACACUCUGCGUGUGAGUUAAACAAGAAAGGUGACAAUAUGCAACCCUCAUGGACUCCUUUCUCAAUUUGGAACCAGGCUGUUGUUCCAUGUCCAGUUUUAACUGUUGCUUCUUGACCUGCAUGCAGGUUUCUCAGGAGACAGGUCAGGUGGUCUGGUAUUCCCAUCUCUUUCAGAAUUUCCCACAGUUUGUUGUCAUCCACACAGUCAAAGGUUUUAGCAUAGUCAAUGAAGCAGAAGUAGAUGUUUUUCUAUAAUUCCCUUGCUUUCUCUAUGAUCCAGCAAAUGUUGGCAGUUCGAUCUCUGGUUCCUCUUUUCUAAAUCCAGCUUGUACAUCUGGAAGUUCUUGGUUCACAUACUGUUGAAGUCUAAGUUGAAGGAUUUUGAGCAUUAUGUUGCUCACAUGUGAAAAAAGCACAGUUGUACAGUAGUUUGAACAUCCUUUGGCAUUGCUUUUCUUUGAGAUUGGAAUGAAAAUUGACCUUUUCCAGUCUUGUGGCCACUUCUGAGUUUUCCCAAUUUGCUGGCACAUAGAAUAUAGCACUUUAGCAGCAGCAUCUCUUAGGAUUUUAAAUAGCUCAGCUGGAAUAUUUUUAUACUAAAAAAAUUCAUAGUUUGUCUGAAAUUCAAAUUUAACCAAAUAUCCUAUAUUUUUUUCUGAUGAGUCUAGUACUCUUUUGUGCCUGGUUCCUUUUAACAUAAUUGUGAGAUUCACC
ensembl:lncRNA